rnacentral:lncRNA from 1 species
GGAGCGCGUGCCAACAAAUGAGUUUGCCAUAGAAUCUAUCAGUUGUCCACUGACACCAAAAUCACAAAGCUUGAUCUCACCUCUAGAGUUUACCAAGAUGUUAGAUGGUUUAACAUCUCUGUGCAUUAUUUUAUGCUUUUCUCUCAGAUAUGUGAGUCCUUUUAUUACUGCAAUGCUGACUUUGCCCAGUAUCUGCUCUGGAAUUCUUCCAGCCUUUUUCAGCACUUGAUCCAAUGAGCCACCAUCCAUGUGUUCCAUGCAAAUGCUGAUUUCCCCAUCGCUGUAAAAAGCUCCAUAAAAGCCCACUAUGUAUGGUGAAUUGCACUCAUGUAGAACCUGCAGCUCACGGAUGAUCUGGUUUCGAAUAGCUGGCUUGAUUUCUAGAUGAAUCAACUUUCUUGCCAUGAUGAGGCCAGAAGGCUUGUGAGAUACUUUGAACACCACCCCACCAUUCCCUGCUCCCAGCUCACUGAUCUUCUCGAAGUCAUCAUCCUUCAGCUCCCCAACUUUUUGUUUCUGGGUAAGGAAAGCUUCAAGGCGCUUCCUUUGCUGUUCAUCCAGCUCUAGCUCUUCCAGCUUCUUCUGAAGCGCUUCCAAGUUUGUCUCGGCAGAGCUGGUCCCGUUGACGGCGGAGCCAUCCGGAGCGGGGUUGAGCUGGAUCGGCCCUGGCUUCUUCUUGGGCAUGUUGCCCCCCGGCCAGCGCAGAGCGUGACGGACGGAGCGGCCGCGGCCCCACUUCGGCCAGGUCCGACGGACUUCCCGACGCGAAGCAAACUUCGGGGCCGCCCCUCAGCGCCGGAGCAGCGCGCGGCCGCCUCCCCGAGAAGGAGCCGAGCCCGCGACGCUGCCGCUCCGGCACAGCGCGGCCGUCGACCCGGCCUGCCCGGCGGAGCGACACCGAGCUCCGCACCGACAGCUCC